CCUACGGGAGGCAGCAGUGGGGAAUAUUGGACAAUGGGCGAAAGCCUGAUCCAGCCAUGCCGCGUGUGUGAAGAAGGCCUUUUGGUUGUAAAGCACUUUAAGCGAGGAGGAGGCUACCGAGAUUAAUACUCUUGGAUAGUGGACGUUACUCGCAGAAUAAGCACCGGCUAACUUCGUGCCAGCAGCCGCGGUAAU
rnacentral:rRNA from 1 species